GCCUGCGGUGGCAGUGAACUCUCAGGAGUGGGUAGGCUCGUAGGUGCAGACCACAGAAUCAGUAUUAGUGAGCAGUUAAGGCAGGAGAGAAUUUACUAAAGGGUGUAGGUGAGCUCCAGGCUCUAGGUUGAUCUUACAGGAAUGACUCCCAGAGGCGUGCAGAGCUGGCCAGUUUGGAGUCGCUGCUCAGUGGCCUCUGCUGCUCCUCAUGGCCCAUCGCACACCUCCACCCAGCUGCUUCCCUGCGAACAACUCGAAGUCUCAGACUGCCAGCAACAGGGAGCGGGUUGCCCUUGCUCCUACUGUGUCCCCAUGUCUCAGCACGGGGCUGUCACACAGAAGGCGCUCAAUGAAUACAGGCCGAGUGAAUGAAUGAACCGACGAAGACCCAGGUGCUGUGCAAAGACCGGUGAUUCUGGGGAGGAUGGACUGUGUCCUGAGCUCCUAAGAUUUCGCAGAGGAGCAGUGACAGGGUCUGAAUUUCGGCAGGAAGGCCGCUCUGGAUCCAGGAAAUGGGUUUGUGACGGCGAGGUGGCCACUCCGUUUCUUUCCCAUAUCUCAGCCUCCUAGAUCAGGAGCCAGAAGAGAUGUUGGAGACCAUUAAGAAGAGAGCAGAAAGCUGAAGUUCAAAAGAGAAAAUGAUUUUCCAGGGUCAUACACUGGGAGAGGGGCCAGGGCCCACUGGGGCUCUGCCUAACUCUGCUCUGUGCUGUCUCUGGGGUGCGUAGCUGAGGCCUCACUCAGCACCCAGCUGGCUGUGUGAGGAAGCGGUGGGGAGAGAGUGUCACACUCCAUCGUGACCAGGACCGAGCAACACUUGCCCCGGGCAUCCCCAUCUCAGGCUGCGAGGGUGUGGACAGGACACAGCCCUGGAGUUCGCGUUCCCAUUUUUCUCUCAGGUUUUCCUAGGUCUCCC
rnacentral:lncRNA from 1 species